AAGGAUCAUUAACGAAGUACUAGAGGGGUUGUAGCUGCCUUGAAAGAGGAUGUGCACGCCUUUCAAACCUUCUAUUUACCACUUGUGCACUCUUGCGGAGACUGUGAUGGCUCUCACAUGAAAAUUGUGGAUGGUAGGCUUGCUAAGUGCUUGCUUGCGAUUUCGCAGUCUCUUGCUUUUUUACACACACUAUAAAAAUUUUGAAUGUUGAUUUACGGAUUGUGAUGAUCUGUAAUAAUUGAAAAUACGACUUUUAGCAACGGAUCUCUUGGCUCUCGCAUCGAUGAAGAACGCAGCGAAAUGCGAUAACUAAUGUGAAUUGCAGAAUUCAGUGAAUCAUCGAGUCUUUGAACGCACCUUGCACCCUUUGGUAUUCCGAAGGGUAUGCCUGUUUGAGUGUCAUUAAAUUCUCAAACUCGGUAUGUUUCUUUUGAAACAUAUCGAGCUUUGGAUGUGGAGGUUGCAGGCUUUAACGAGCAGGCUCUUCUUAAAUGCAUUAGUGGCUUUGUCGAUCCCCAUUAUUCGGUGUGAUAGUAAUAUCUGCAUCGUUAACUAAUGGCUAGUUCAUGCAAUGGCAAUUUUAAAGCUGCUCUCUAACUGUCUUCGGACAAUUUGAACCAUUUGGNCUCAAAUCAGGUAGGACUACCCGCUGAACUUAA
rnacentral:rRNA from 1 species